rnacentral:lncRNA from 1 species
ACACUAGGGUGGGGUGGGGAGAAAGAACCUAUAAAACAUGAGAAAAGGGGCAAUAUUAUAAAUGCUGUAUCUUCAAGAAAUUAUGAGCUUGUGUUCAAGGUUUGUAGGGUGCAAAAACAACCACUGAGUUAUGCCCUCCGAAUCCGAACGAGUUGGAGAUACCUGCAAAUUAAGAAGAUGAAAAAGGAUUACAUGAGGCCAUUGUGAAAAUGUUUAUUGCUUGGACUCUCUAAAAAUGUUGGUGUGUCGUGCUAGCUAACAGUUAAGUGAGAAUUGUGUAUUAGGGUAAACAGACAUACCGACGUUCACUUCAUGUUGCUUCUUCACAUUUGGAACGGUGUCAAUUGUAACCUGAGGUUCUAAGUCCUACACAUGAAAAAAAGAGAAAAAUAAGUCUCGUGAUGAUUAAAGAACAGUCAGGAUAUAAGAUAGUCAAAACGCGUUAAAAAAGAGGAGUCGGUGAGUAGUACAUAUUGAUUGAUGGUUGGAUGAAGCCAUCCUGUUGUGAUCGCCUUGAUGGUUGCAAUGGCUUCAAGUCCACCAGAAGCCCCGAGUCCAUGACCAAUCAUCGACUAAUAAGUAACAGCAACAAAUGUAACUUGCUUUAGUAGUUAAGUAGCCAUUGCCAUUCAAAUAUUUGGAUCAAAUGAGCUUCACAUAACAACAGAGUAAUCGUUUUAAACCAGCUAACGAAAAUAGUCUAGCAGAUCAGUCUUGUAAUGCUGAUCAUUCAAUAGGUUGCAAUUGUCCUACUUAAAAAAACAGAUUGAUUCUUUCCCUUGAGAGACGCGAGGGCCAGUGGACACAUUUUCCUUAGUCAUCGUAAGCAAAAUAACGGUUGUGUUUACCUUUGUCCCGUUCAUUUUGAUUUCCGAGGUAUCCUUGAAGACCUUCUUGAUGGCAUUGACCUCAGCCAAAUCUCCAGCAAGAGUAGAUGUUGCAUGAGCAUUUAUAUAGUUCACCUAUUCAGAGUUAAUUCAAUGAUACAUGUAUAUCAGAAUCUAAAUAGGUAUGACAUUUUCUAUGAACAAUGUUACCUCUUCUGGGGAAACUCCCGCAUCUACCAAACUCAUUACUAUGCAAGACGAAACUCCAAGUCCAUCAGCACGAGGAUCGGUUAUGUGAUGAGCAUCACACGUGAUAGCACCUCCCAAGUAUUCCGCUAUGAUAGGAGCGCCCCUUUUCAAGGCAUGCUCCAAAUUUUCCAUCACCUGUUCAUGUGAAAUAACUCGAUCAAGUCAAUAUAGCAGUACCAAUCAAUGAUUUUUUAACAACCGUGACUUAGAUAAGAGGCGGAGGAAAACAAUAAGUAGUUGAAUAGGUAUACCAGGACACCGGAGCCUUCACCAAUGACAAAUCCAUCACGAUUCCUGUCCCAUGGCCUUGAAGCCUUUUCAUAUUCAUCAUUUCUUUGAGACAAGGCUCGACAAGCUAUGAGACCACCAACACCAAUAGCCGAAAUAAAAGCGUCCGUUCCACCUGCUACCAUGAUAUCCGCUUCGCCUCUUCUAAUGUGAUUUGCAGAUGCGUAAAAGCAGUAAUUGGCAGUUGCACAAGCCGUUGAAAUAGAGUAAGUUGGUCCCAUUAGUCCAGUGUCUAUAGCCAACAAUGCUGAUCCCAUGUUAGUGAUUGAGUAAGGAAUGAAAAAUGGAUUAAUUUUCUUGUAUCCUCUUUGCACCAAGGCUUCCACCGCAUCGGUGAAAACUUUUGAACCCCCCAUGCUCGACCCAACCAAGACACCGAUCCUUGUUUUGUCCAUCUGCAGCACACAAAUUCAAGAAACUUUCCUCACAUUUACGCUUUUGAUCAUUUGCAACUCAAAAUUUGUACUACCAAGAACCAAUAAAUAAACUCACAGUAUCAAGAACUUGUUGGCCAAGGUUAGCAUCUUCGAGGGCCCUUUUCCCAGCAACAAGACAAUAUCUCCAGCAGUCAUCCAAGCGACGAUCAUUCUUUCCGUCUAUGUAGCCUUCAGAGGAGAAAUCACGAAUCUGUCCCGCGAACCUAACUGUGUAACUUGAGGCAUCAAAUCUGUCUAUUAAACUGAUUCCACUUUGUCCCUCGAGAAGUUUGUUGUAAAAAUUAUCGAUAUCACUUCCAAAGACUGAAACAAGGCCCAUUCCGGUUAUGACAAUCCUUUUCUUCGGGUCCGUCUCUCUCUUAGGAGCUGAGACAGCUGGAGAAGCCAUGGCCCUGAUUCUUCCACAUUUUACAGCUAUUUUGAAAUAUUUCAGUAGAUUAGAAUCCUUCAUGAUAAAAUCAAAGAAGAUGGAAACAAACCAAAGUUUACCACAAAGUAUAUGCUCAUGAUAAGGCGGGAAAACUAAAAGCUACGAAUCACAACACACUAUGAUAAUAAGAAAAAUGCAACAUCAACACAAUUUUGAAGAGUCAUUGAAUUGAUGAAAUAUUUUGAUAACAUAAGAUUUGUUGGGUUGAAGGUGUAUGUGUGAAUGGAAAAUGGAGGGAAAAUAGUGGAGGGAAAGAGAGACACUAAAAUGGAAAGUGUACUCUUUUUGAGGGAAAGUUCACUAAUUCUCCCACAUUGGUGAGAGAAGGGAACUUUGAAGUGUUUAUAAUGAGGCAAGAACAAGGUGGUGCCUUGCGCUGUCGUCGCUCGCUCGGCUUUAGAUUUAGAAAAUGAUUGAUGAGAUCUAUUUUUUUUAGACGAAUUUUAUUUGAAACUUGUUUUACAAGUGAAAUUUUAAUCCAAAAUUCAGGUAGAAUUGUUUUUCUCCAAGUGUGGGCGCAUUUCGGACGCCAUGCAAACGCAUACGCAACGCAUCUCGAACGGAUACGACUCGAAACCCUUCGAGGUAAAAAGCACACUGUUUCGUGCUGUAGUGCGAUCUGCGUGCGCACUUCGAUGACUUUCGGGCGCAGGUGCAGCGCAGAUGCUCACUGGAAUUCGGACAGUGUCACCUGCGGCCGCAGAUCGAGCGCAGUUCCAGCACAGACUGGGCGCAGAUGACGCGACUGUACUGAAUAUGUGCCUUUUUGCUGAACCAGUGCAUCCUUUCCAAAAGGACACAUUAAAGACUAUAAAUACCUGAUAUAUUCCUCUGGUAUAGACAUAAUUUUUGACAGGAAAACACUCUUCAUAUCUUCAAAAACUCGUUGUGAUCAUUAGUUGUUGAGUGAGUUCGACGAAUCCAACUAUUUGCGGUACUGCUAUAGUUGGAUUGAAAACCAUUUUAUCCUGGGAGGAAAAUUCCAUAACCUCGGGUACAGUGAGGGAAAUUAUUCCUUAAGGACACUCCGUGAAGUCGGGGGACUUGGCUUUACAUUUAUGUUUCAUCUCAUUUAUGAAAAAUAACGCACUUGGAUAGAUUAUUCAUAAUCUUGUGUUGAAGGUGUUAAAUAACUUCGUAAGUGUUCUUGUUUUGAGACUUGAACUUGUUGAAGUUCUUGAGCCUAUAUACAGAUUCUUGUACUCAAAACCAUUCAAAAAUAACAAGAUUGAAAUUAGUAAAACAAACACUAAGAAGAGAAAUUUACGUUAUUCAUGAACUAUUGUGCUUUCUAUCUUUCUUUAUAUAUUCUAACAUUAAUAUCUACUAGUGCAUUUCUAUCUUCUCUUUUAUUGAAUGCUAAGCAUAUAAAAAAGAAACUUGUAAGCCAAGAGAAAGAUAUCAUCAAACUCCAAUAUUCAGAAUCCAAAAAAAAGAAGAAGAAAGGGGUAAGCCGGUGCACGAAGCAUCUUGGGUUCAUACAGGGUCGGGGGAAGAGCUGUACCCUAAGGGGUAUGAUGUAAGCAGGCUGUCUUGAUGCAAACAUCAGUGGCUGAUUCCACGACUAGUCCAUGUGAUCUACCAUUCACAUGGAGACAACUUCCCACAGUAUAUUUGGAAACAGUAAUCACUAAAAUAUCCAACAGAGUAUUCAAAGAAACAUUAUCAACAAAAACAACAACACACCUUGUGCGAUCACACAGACCUUACUUUUACCUUGUGUGAAGUAGAGAGAGCUAUUUCCGAUAGACAAACAUCAAAGACAUCAAAAUUCACAAGUGAGAUUUGGAGAGUGUCAGUGUACAAAGAUCUUACCCCUAGGGCCUUACUUUGUGAGAGGUAGAGAAGCUGUUUCGGAUAGGAAACAUCAAAGACAUCAAAUUCCCACAAGUGGGGCUUGGAGAGGAUCAAUGUCCAUAGACCUUACACCUACCUUGCAUGAGGUAAAGAGGCUGUUUCCGAUAGAUAAACAUCAACGUAUUAAAUUCCCACAUUUUCUCCACAGUGUUAAGCAAUUAUUAACACCACUUUUUAUACCUUAUGACACAAUAUCAAAUCAAAUACUAGAUUUUGUUGGCUCUACUGAACCUAUUGCUUUCAGCUCGAACUAUGCAUACAUAUGCAAAGUUAAAAAAAUAAAUUAAAAUGUAUCUAGUACACUAACAUGACACUCAUUCCAAGCUUACUAACUUUAAAUUCUGAGUACGUCUCUAUCUACUCAAUUAUCAUAAAUAAAAUACGAUAAAAAAUUAUCAAGAAGAUCAUAAUAAUACCUUUUGGCUUAUAAGCAACAGAGCUUGCUGGCAUUUGUACAGUUUCAAUAGCUCUAAGUCCAUUAUACUGUAAAUGAAAUCCUACAUUGAUUCUUGAUUCUUUCUUCUUCAAUAUCAAAUUAGAAUAACAACUACUAGUAAUACUACUCAUCUUCUCAAACACGAGAAACUAAAUCUUUUUUUUUUUUUUUUUGCUUAAUAAUUGUAUCUUGUAUACUAACAUAUCAUGUUGGUAAUAUAUAGGAAAAUAGAAAGACAACUCAUAGAGAAAUAGGAAAAUUGAAAGACAACUCAUAGAGUAAUAGCGUGAUUCGCCAAGCUUUUAACGUCAGCUUAUUUUCAAAAGUAUUUUUCAAUAAAAUACUUUUGGCAAAGAAGCAAUUUAUAUUUAAUCAAUAAAUUUAAAAAUCAUUUUUAACAGCAAUUAGUAUUGAACUAAGCUUUUUAAAAAAUAUUUUAUAUUUAUAGGAAAACCUACAUUUUUCUGGCCUAUGAAAAACCAUUAAAAUAAGUACUUUUUUUAAAAAAAUAAAUUUGCCAAAAUAGGCUAACAAAGUUGGUUUCUUCUAGAGUUUUUAUGCAAAUAAUAUUUGGAGAAUCCGCACAAAAAUAGUACUCCAUUAAUAUUUGUAUAUCAUUAAUUUAAUACACAGAUUAUUAUAGGUGGUAAAUGAUAUAGAAAAUACAGUCAUAUCACCUUUUAAAUACUAAUUAAUUCAAUAUAAUAAUUGUAAUUAAUAACCAAGAAUAAAAUAAAUAAAUAAAUAAAAAUAAAUAAAUUAUUCAUUGAUUUUCAAAUCAACCAAAUAUUAUUGAAUACUAUUUAUUUUUAUUACAAUGAUAAGUAAUAGUUAUGAUUUUUUCCAUAAGACCAAACAAGUGAAACACUUAAAUAUUAUUGAAUACUUCUCCCUCCGUUGAUUAAUCUGUUAGAGCCAUCACAUUAACUUUCUUUAUUACUGCUAUCAAGUCUAGUGGCGUAGCCACAUAUAGAAUGGUCAGUUGGAAGAAAAAUUAUAUUAGAUAUAUAGUAGAUUAUACAAAAUUUAUAUGUUAAUAAAUAUAUAUUAAAUUUUAAACACCUUUAACGAACUUUCUCGCUUCGGCAUUAUCAAGCAUGUUACAAUCUCUCUAUUUUUACUCUCAUUGUUGAAUAGAAAUCCAGAGACGCACCUUAAGCCCUAACAAAAAAUUGUCAGAUGACUCUUGCUCAGUUAAUAGACUCUUCUUCUAAUUUUCGAAUGUUUGAUUCUAACAAACAAUUUAGUUUUUAUUCAUAGGAUUAAGCUUGAUUUGUGAAUAAUAUUCUUCUUUACCUUUUCUAUUAGUUUGUUCUUUAUGCAUGUUUUUGUAUAUUUUUUUAUGUUAUUUGUCCUUUGUGAUAGAUAAUUAAGACAAGUUUUGUUGUUUCUACGGUUUGAGUUCAAAGAAUAACCCUUUCAUUAUUAUCAUUUUAAAAGAAAAGCAGCUAAAUUCAAAUGUUAAUUUAUUAUAUAAAUGCAUUUAUCAUUUUAAUUGUUAUGUUUCUGAUGCUUAUUAUCUUUUUAUGUUUUAUUUUGACUCAAAUAAUGAAGGUUAUUGAAUGAUGACCGAUACGUGGGAGUUGAUGUCGGCAAUAGAUCGAAAGAUUGUGCAUUAAUUUUGAAUUUUUUCCUUUAUUUUUUUAAUGAUUAAAUUCGUAAAAAUAAUUUUGUAUUUUUUUUUGGGUAAACAACUUAAAUCCCAACACUUUGCUACAUAAUUACCCUUUCUCCCAACUUUUAUAUUAAUUACUUAAAAUCCUGCAUAUGAUACAUAAGUUUGGUUCGGAUACAUAACCGAAAGAUACAUAACUAUCAAAGUAAUUGACAAAUAACAAUAAAAGAGUAAAUAAUGGAGCAAUUAAUGCGAUUCUGGUUGAGCAAUUAUAUCUCUUUAAUUCCUCCAUCACAAGCCUUUUAUCUUUCCCCUUAUACUGCAAAGCUUCCUCUUUAAUCUUUCAAUAGCUGUAACAAUAAUUAAAAAUAAUAAAUAAAUAAUUAAAUUCCAAAAAUAAUUCAGAAAAUUAAAAAAAAACAGAAGAAAAAACAAAAUUUACUAUGUAUCAGAAGCAGUGAUAUAUCUCAUACAUAAAUAAAGUUCAAAUAAAGUUGAAUGUAUCGGAUGAAAAAAAAUACAAAUCAAUUUCAGCAUUUACUAUGUAUCAUAAGCAAUGAUAUAUCUCAUACUUAUGUAUCAUACUCAUAAUGUUUAAUGUAUCAGGUGUAAAACAAAAUAAAACUCACAUACAAUUUUCAGCAUGUAUCAUAUAAUCUAAAAAUUUGACAAAAUUAGAUCUAUGUAUCAUAAUAAGUAUAUUACAUGUAUCAUGUAUAAAAUUGAACCAUAAUCACAUAUAUGUUGUAGGUCAAAGUCAUCGAUAGGCACUCAAACUUGUUGCCAAAAUUCACUUAGACAUCUAAACUAAAGCCUGUUCCUAUUAGACCCCUAAACCCCCCACAUUUUGUUCCAAUUGGACAUUUUUUUCGCUGUUCUCAUCAGCUUGUUCGCGCAGGUCUCCAAACGCAGCUGAUGUGGAAAGUUGUCCACAUAAAACUCUUCACGUGGAUAAACUAAAUCCACAUAUACUUAUUACAUUUUAAAUGAAAAAAAAUUAUUUUGGCCAUUUAUUUCUCUCUCCCCGUUAACUCUCUCUCUCCCCAUUAACUCGCUCUCAGAUAACCCUAAAAUUAACCCUAAUUUAACGAAAAUUCCACUCAAAUCGAAGGGGAAAUUUGGGGGUUUUCCACAGAUCUUCCUCGUGUAAGUGUUAUUAUGAUUUAUAUUUGUAAAAUUUUUUUGAAUUUUAGCAUAUUUCAGUUUUUAGGGUUUUGAAAUUUCACUGUAGGACUGUGAUUUUGGGAAUAUUCCGUCUCUUUCUUAACAUGCAUUAAAGGUUGUAGGUUUUAGCUUAUUGGUGUGUACUUUAAGUAUAUUCCGUUAACUAACUUUGAAUUCUUACUCUUUUGUUGCAGGUGGCAUAACAAAUGGAGAUAAUAUUCAUAAAAUUUCACCAUAGGGGAUCUUUUUUCAAUAAGGGUGUCCCUACAUAUGUUGCAAGUUGUGUGCCAAAGCUAAGGUAUAUUGACAAGGACCACUUUUCCAUGCUGGAAUUGUUAUUUUAUACUAAAGAAUUAGUGUAUGACAGUUUUAGGGGGUUUUAUUAUCAAGAUGCAGUAACUAAGCAGUUCAACUUGGUGAAGAGUGACAGACAUCUCGUUGAACUAGUUAAAGACUUAAAACAUGAGGGCUCUAUUGAUUUUUAUGUCUAUCAUGUUUUAGAUGAACUAAUUCUUGACCCCGAUGGUCCCACUGAUUUUUUACCUGCACCUAAUAUUAUUGAGUGUGCAGACCUAGAAAGAGAAAGUGUUGGUGUUGAUGAUAGUGCUAACAUAGAGAGGGAAUCUGUUAGAGUAGAGGAAGAGAGAGAGGAUGAUAUAAAAGAUUUUAACCUAGAAGAUAUUGAGAUAGAGAAUGUUAACUUAGGUAAAGAGAGGGAGACUCAUGUAGAAGAUGUUGGAGUAGAAGAAGGUGAUGAGGCUAAUAUAGAAGAUAUCCAUGUAGAAGAUGUUAACCUAGAAGAUUUUGGUGUAAAAGGAGGUGAUGAGGCUGAUGUACAACAUAUUCAUGCAGAAGAUGUUAAUAGGCUAGCAGAUGAGUUGUCAGAUUACUUGAGUAGUGAUUCAGAUCUUGGAGAUAUUCCUUCAGAAGAUGGCUUAGAUGUUGAUAAGGAUUUGAGGGCAUUUAGACAAGAAAAAGUAAAAACAAAUACAACAAGAAAGAAAGAAAUCAAAAAGCAAGAAAAAAGGUUGUUGAAACUGAACAAGUACCUGUGAGAGUUGCUGGUUGUGUAGAUAGAGUCUUUGGGGAUAUUGGUAAAAAUAAGGCUAGCAAAUAUUCUGGAAAGUUGGGUGGAGAUGAGGAAUAUCUUAAUAGUUAUGAUUGUUGGAGUGAAGGUAGUGAAGAUAUAGAUGUGGAUACUGUUAGAAGAGUAGAUCUACCUAGAAGAAGAAGAAGUAAGAAAACUAGGUAUGACAAAAAUUGUGAGUUUUCUGUGUUUGAGCUUGGGAUGAUUUUUGAGGGUGUAAAACAGUUUAGAAAAGCUAUUGCAGAUUAUGCUAUAGAGUAUAGAAGGCAGUUGAAGUUAAAACCUAAUGAAAAAUAGAAUAAGGGUGAAGUGCAUUGCAACCAAUUGCAACUAGUUGCUGUUUGCUUCUACUGAUUGGGAUUCAAGUGAUUUUAUUGUGAAGAACUAUAACUCUAUUCACAAGUGUAUACCUCUAAACAAGAACAAGAUGUGUGAUUCAAAGCUGGUUGCUAGAAAGUUCAAGAAGAGAAUUGUUUCUCAGCCAUACAUUAGGAUUUGGGAAAUUCAGGAUUUGGUAAGAGAGGUGUUGGGUCUUUGUGUAGGUAAAACUAUUUGUUUUAGGGCUAAACAGAUUGUUAUGAGGGAGAAUAUGGGAGAUUGAAAGCUGGAAUUUGCCAGAUUAUAUGACUAUGCAGAUAUGAUCAAGACAACAAAUCCUGGAAGUUCUUGUUAGAUAAAAAUUGACAAAGAAACUGAACCAGGGAAGAGCCUCUUUGUUUAUUUCUAUAUGUGCUUUCAUGCCUUCAAGAAAGAAUGGUUAGAUGGGUGUAGGAAAAUUAUUGGUUUUGAUGGAUGCUUUCUAAAAAGAGCUUGUAAGGGUGAGUUAUUGGUUGCUGUGGGGAAAAAUGGCAACAACCAAAUGUAUCCUAUUGCAUGGGCAGUUGUAGAUACUGAAACAAAACAUAGCUGGGAUUGGUUCAUAAGGCAUCUGAUUGGUGAUCUAAAUCUGGGAACUGGUGAAGGGUUGACUGUAAUGUCAGACCAACAAAAGGUACUAUUACUUAAUUAUUUUUCUCAUUACUUGACUUUAUUUUCCAAUAAUAUUCUUGUUUUAAUAAUACUUGAUACUUAUUACAAGGUCUUGUUCCUGUUUUGAUGGAUCUGUUACCAAAUGCUGAGAGAAGAAUGUGUGCUAGACAUAUUUGGAGCAAUUGGCAUGUGCACUGGAAAGGAGAAGAGAGAAGAAAAUAGUUUUAGAGAUGUGCAAAAGAAAGCUUUGAAGUAAAGUUUAGAGAGGAGAUGCAAGCAAUGUCAAAUCUAGGUCAGAAAGAAAUAACUGAGGACGUGUUAGUUAAUCCUCCUACUUCUUGGUGUAGGGCAUAUUUCAAAACACAUUCCAAAUGUGAUGUUGUAGAAAAUAACAUGUGUGAGACUUUCAAUUCUUGGAUCUUAGCUUCUAUACAUAAAUCCAUAAUCGCAACAUUAGAGGAUAUCAGGCAUAAAAUGAUGAAUAGACAUGUAGAUAUGAUCAAAUUUGCAGAAACAUGGAUUUCAGACAUUGCACCUAUGGUAAGAACUAUUUUAGAAUCUAAUAAGGAAUAUUCAAAUAGGUGUAGAGUAUUAUGGAAUGGAGUUAAUGGUUUUGAAAUUGGGGAUGGGGGUUACACAUUUGUUGUUCACUUGGACAAGAAGUAUUGUAAUUGUAGGUUAUGGAUGUUAAGAGGUAUUCCUUGUCCUCAUGCCAUUUGUGCUUAUUAUUACUUGAAUGAAGAUCCUGAUCAGCAUUUAGAGCACUGGUAUAGUAAAGAAACCUUUCUUAAGUCUUAUUGCCAUUUCAUGCAACCAAUUACCAACAUGAGAACGUGGCCGAAACCCCAAACCCAUCAAUUGAACCUCCAGAACCAAGAAAGAUGCUAGGCAGACCUGGCAAAAAUAGAAGAAAGAGCAAGGAUGAGCCAAAAAAGUGGGGCAAACUCUCAAAAGGUGUCAAGAUCACCUGUUCAAGGUGCAAGCAAGUUGGCCAUACAAGACUAUGUGUGCCAAAAUGGUAAGCCUUAAAUGAAUUUUCAUAAUACUUUGUAAAGUUAACAUAUUUCUUAAAUUUUUAUAUUUAUGUUUGUAUGUUAGAAUGGUAUGGGAAGCAGUAAUAGUAGUCAACCUAUUACUUAGCCUGCAACUUCAUGGAAUCCACCACCACCACAAUCAAGUUCUAUUUGUGGUGACACCAGUGCAAUGGCAAGAGAUACCUACACUCUAAGUCAGACAGCAAGAGUAAGUUAUAUAUGUUCUGCUACCUUAAUAUUCCUCUCCUUCUUAAUAUUAUUAUUAAAAACUGUUGAAAAUAUUAUGUUGCAUUUAUUCACAGUCAAACUCCUCCUUUCAUACAUAUGCAACUACAUAAUCCAGUUAAUCAGGAUCUAUUUGUGCUGACACAGCUGCUGUGCCAAGACCACAUCAAAUAAAGGUGUCAAAUGCUGCUGGUAGAGGUCAAGCUGCUGCUGGUAGAGGUAAAUGUAGUUCUGGUAGGGGUCAAUGUGGUGUUGAUAGGGUAGGUGGUUUUGGUAGGGGUCAAUGUGGUGCUGAUAGGGGAGGUGGUUAUGGUCGGGGUCAAUGUAGUAUUGAUAGGAGAGGUGGUUUUGGUUGGGGUCAACGUGGUGCUGAUAGGGGAGGUGGUUCUUGUAGGGGUCAAUGUGGUGUUGAGAGGGGAGGUGGUUCUGGUAGAGGUUAAGGAGGGAUUGGUAGAGGAUUGGCAAGAAAAAUAGCCAAUGCAAGAGGGACCCCAUUUGAAAGUGGAAGAAAUACUUCUUCUAGUCAAGUACCACCUUUGCCAUCCAACAAGAGGCCAUACAAUGCUACCUCAUUUGUUGCUGCUACUGCAUACAAAGGCCUACAACUGGUUUUGGUGUUUACUCUGAUCCAAUAACUGGAACCCAAGUGUACAAUGUAUUUCUCUCUGUCUCAUUAUUUACCUAUAACAAUGUUUUUAUUCAAGUUUUCAAUGUUCAUUGUCUUACAAUUAUUUCUAAUUUUGCAGCCUGGUACAUCAACUGAAAGGGUUCUUUAUGGGGGUAUAAAUUUAAAGAGUGCUUCAUCAAUCAAUAUAGAUAUUGGUUUUAAACCUAGUGGCCUAAAAUUGAAUGGAAAAGAUGCAGUCACCAACACACAAUUGCAACAAAUGAAAGCAAAUAAGAGGAAAAAAGUGGAUGCAACCAAGUUUUCUUCAUCAGUUGGAUCUUCCAAGAAGUAGUUCAUUUAGAAAUGAUUUUUACUGUAAUCAGGGUUAAUGACUUUGAACAAAUUGUGUUACUAGUAUUUGAACAACUUUUUCUAAUGCAGCAGUUAAUGAUUUUGGUGUAUGGUGCAGUUGAACACUAUUAUGCUCAAUGUUGAGCUUUAUUUGAACACCUUGUUUACUGUAUGUAGUUUUUAGCUCAAUUUUGAGAUGUAUUAAUAUGAUAUCCAGCUGCUUGCACUUUUAGUUCAAUCUUGAGCAAUUUUAAUGAGAUGGAUGUGAUGCUUCUAAUAUAGUUCAUUUUUAUCAAUACCUUCAACAGUUACAAAUAGGCUAUAUGGUUAAGUAGCUGCACAACUAGACACAAAGUAGCCAAUUGACAAUGAGAUUGUCAUACAAAACAUGUGGAUUCAUUUAAACAACUACUACAAACUACUACUACUACAAACUACUACUACUACAAACUAACCAAACAACUACAACAAACUACUACUACAAACUACUACUACUGCUACAAACUAACCAAGCAACUGCAACAAACUAACCAAGCAACUGCAACAAACUACUAUUACAAACUACUACUACUACUACUACAAACUAACCAAGCAACUACAACAAACUACUACUACAAACUACUACUACUACUACUGCUACAAACUAAUCAAGCAACUACAACAAACUACUACUACUACAAACUAACCAUUACAAAUUCAUUAUGAACUAAACUAACCAAACAACUACAACAACUAGCCACUACACCAUAUUAAAGAACCACUUCACAGUAAUAACAAUGAGAAGAAGUAGAACAAGUCUAUUCAAUUUGAGCUUAGCAUAUUCCCUUUCAAGUUUAAUUUUUUUGAGUUUUUGCCUCAUUGAAAUCAACUUCUCUUCACUAUCUUUCAAUUUCUCACACAAAGUGUCCCUCUCUUGUUCAACCUCUCUGAGAUUUUGCUUCAAUCGAUCACAUAAAUUUUCACCACCUUUGCACUUUAUCAUUAAGCUUGAUUCUACCUCAGGAUAUUGAUGCACAGAAAUUGAAGGUUUUGGAUCAAUCCAUCUAAAGUACCCACAUCCACCAUUUUUCUAAAAUGUAAAAACCAAAGAAUAAUUAAAAAACCACCAAAAAAAUAUAAUUAAAAUCCGUCAAAAUGAUACAAACCUUUGGAACUUUACAUCCAAAAAAUUUACGACCAGGAUUUGAUGGAGUCCUUGAAGUUCUUAAUGGACAAAAUUCAGAACAAUAACACAAAUUAGGAACCUCAAUGUUAACGGAUUUUUCCGACAUUCUCAUGGAAAAUGAAAGAAAAAAUUGAUUUAAGAGAAAUUAUGAGAUAAAUUUGAUAGUGAGAUGAGAGAAGUUGAGAGGAAAAUCAGCUAUGGAGGAGAGAAUAAAGAAAGAAGAAGAUGAAAUUAGGUUAAAAAUAGAGGGAAAUUGAAGGGGGUGACAAAAGUAACGUUAAAUAACGUUAACUUUUGCCACAUAGACAACUUUUUCACAAGUCACACGUCACCCGUGACUAAACAACACGUGCAGUACCACGUAGGCCAAAAAUGCCCAAUUGGAACAAAAUGUGGGGGGUUUAAGGGUCUGAUAGGAACAUGCCUUAGUUUAGUUGUCUAAGUGAAUUUUGGCAACAAGUUUGAGUGCAUAUCGAUGACUUUGGCCUAUGCUGUAUUAUGAAUCAUAAAGCAACAACCUUGAAUCUAUGUAUUAGAUGCAGUAUAUUAAAGGUCAAAGGCAUCGACAGAUACUCAAACUUGUUGCCAAAAUUCACUGAGACACCUAAACUAAGGCCUAUUCCUAUCAAACCCCAAAACCUCCCACAUUUUGUUCCAAUUGGGCCUUUUUUUUUUUUUUACUAAUUUACAAAUAAAAAGAUGCCAAGUGGCAUUGAGGGCCCCAAAAUUUUUUUAAUAACAAUUUUUUUUUAAACACUAAAGGCCCUUUUUAAUAAAACAAAAAGCAUUAGGGGGUCCCAAUUUUUUUUUUAAUAAAACAAUACGCUGGGGGGAUGGGCGUAGGUGGGGGAGUUUUAUUUUUAUUUUUUAAAAUUUUUUAUAAUUUCUUUUUAAUAAUUAGUUUUUUAUUUUUUAAAUAAUUUUAUAAUUUCUUUUUUAUAAUUAGGCAAAAAAGCAUUAGGGGGUCCCAAUUUUUUUUUAAUAAAACAAUACGCUGGGGGCUGGGGGUAGGUGGGGGAGUUUUAUUUUUAUUUUUUUAAAAAAAUUAUAAUUUCUUUUUAAUAAUUGUUUUUUUAAAAAAAUAAUUUUAUAAUUUAUUUUUUAUAAUUAGGCUUUUAUUUUUAUUUUUUAAAUAAUUUUAUAAUUAUUUUUUAAUAAUUUGGAUCCUCAAUGCCAUUUUUUNNNNNNNNNNNNNNNNNNNNNNNNNNNNNNNNNNNNNNNNNNNNNNNNNNNNNNNNNNNNNNNNNNNNNNNNNNNNNNNNNNNNNNNNNNNNNNNNNNNNNNNNNNNNNNNNNNNNNNNNNNNNNNNNNNNNNNNNNNNNNNNNNNNNNNNNNNNNNNNNNNNNNNNNNNNNNNNNNNNNNNNNNNNNNNNAUAAUUUUAUAAUUAUUUUUUCAUAAUUUUUAUCCUCGCCAUUUUUUAUUUUCAUUUUUAAAUUUUUUUUAUAAUUUUUCUUAAUAAUUAUUUUUUUAAAAUAAUUUUUUAAUAAUUUAUUUCAUUUUUGUAAAAAAAUUAUAAUAUUUUUCAAAUAAUCAGUUUUUUUAAUUUUCUAAAUAAUUUUAAAAUUAUUUUUUAAUAAUUUCCUCAAUGCCAUUUGUAUAUACUUUUUACAAACAAUUAUAAUUAAUUUUUAAUAAUUAUUGGACCCACAAUGCCACGUGUCAGCUUCCAAUUAGCUUAUUUUUCCACGUCAUCACGUGUGUGCAACAAACACUUUGAGCUUUUUGUUGAUAGGGAAAAAAAGGCCCAAUUGGAAUAAAAUGUGGGGGCUUUAGCGGCCUGAUAGGAACAGGUCUUAGUUUAGGUGUCUAAGUGAAUUUUGCCAACAAGUUUGAAUUCCUAUCGAUGACUUUGGCCGUAUAUUAAAUGUAUCAGAUGCAGUAUAUUGAAUGUAUCAUAUCUAUAAAGAAACAAAAAAUCACUUGUAAAAAUUUAUGAUGUAUUAGAACGCAUGCAUUGUCAUGAAAAUUGAUUUUUUGUAACUUACUUCUUCCUCUUUGCAGAUGCAAUAAUCGAUAACUUCUUCAUCAUAAUAAGUAUAUUACAUGUGUUACCAUUUCCAACAACUACUUCAUUUAACAUGAUAAUGAAAUUGUGGAAUUAAAAAAGAAAGUUAAUGGUAAAAAGAUAGAGUUGUUAGAUUUAAUUUAGUAGAUGAGAACAUGGUAGAAGUUCAAGAAAAAUUAAUGAAAAUUGUAACUUGAAUAUUGAAGUAGAAGAUGAAGAUGAGAACAUGGUGAAAAUUUAAAAUGGGUGAGUUGAGAAAAUAGUGGGAUAUAGUUCCUAAUUUUUGGGCUUGCUUUGUGGCACAAUAAGGGGUUGAGGAGAAAAUUGAAGGAAAUGUGUCUUUUAAGUCUUGAAUGAAGGAUUGGUGAUAUUGACCAACAGAUAGGGUCAAACAUCAUUAGGAAACUUGAUUAAGUUAAUUGUGGACUUGAUUAGUAUUUUCAAAACUUUCUAAUCUUUUCAAAAAUAUAAAUCAACCCAACCCACACCCCUCUUCAAUCCAAAUCAACCACUCUCUCCUCUCUCUCCAGCUUCUCUCAACUCUCUCCUAACCAACAAUUCUGCAAAAUUUCUCCCUUCAACCUCUGGCGACAAAUAGUCGGGCGAGUUUCUUUUCGACUUUCAACCAUCAAUCGACUUGAAUACUUCUCUAGUGACAACUUCGAGUUUUUCUUCCUCCCAUUUCCUUUUUCAUAGGUAAAAAAUUAUGAAAAAAUAGAGGAACUUGAGCCAACUACUCUUCUGGUAUUGAAAUGUGGACUGAAUAAAACCCUAAUUUCUGGUAUUUAUGCAUUUCUUCUUCUUGUUGUCAUACUGUUGAUUCGAAUUUAUUGGUGAUUUUUGGUCACAAUUGAUGUUCUUAGUGUGUGUGUGUGUGAUGUGUUGGUGUUGCUGGGUUGAUUUGUUAUUUGUCUUGGUAGAAAUGGUAUUACAACAGUUGAAACAUCUGAUGUAAUAGAUGAAACAUAUGAUGCAAUAGAUAAAAAUCUGAUGCAACAGAUGAAAAAUUUGAUGCAACAGGUGAACAAUCUAACAGAUCAUUCAUCAGUUGCGACAGACAACUCUUCUGUUUGGACGAAAUCUAAACAAUAUUGAUCCAAUAGAUAACUAAUUAAUGAUCUAUUUUUAUUCUUUCCAAUGGUUUACUCUUCAUUUGCAACAAAUUAGGAAUGUUUUUAUUCUUUUCAAUGGUUUACUCAUCCAUUGCAACAGGUCGAUUAUUUUUUGCAACAGAUAACAUACCUGGUGCAACAGAUUAGUGAUUCGUUUUUAUUUUUUCCAAUGAUUUACUCAUCCGUUUCAACAGGUUGGUUAUAUGUUGCAACAGAUAAAAUACCUAGUACAACAGAUUAGUGAUCUAUUUUUAUUGUUUCCAAUGGAUUACUCAUCCAUUUCAACGGGUUAGUUAUGUGUUGCAUCAGAAAAAACACCAGGUGCAAUAGAUAGUGCUGUUUUUAUGGUUCCCAUGGAUUACUCAUCCGUUGCAACAGGUCGGUUAUAUGUUGCAAUAGAUAACAUACCUGGUGCAACAGAUUAGUUGUCUGUUGGAACUGUUAUAUUACUGUUAUGCAUUAAUCAAUUAUAAUCUAUGUUAUGUUCCUGUUAAUUUAAGAUAACAUGGCUCCCAAAAGAAAAGAAAUCGAAUCAAGUCCAAGUAAAGGAACAAGUGUAGCAGCUCAGCUACAUCNNNNNNNNNNNNNNNNNNNNNNNNNNNNNNNNNNNNNNNNNNNNNNNNNNNNNNNNNNNNNNNNNNNNNNNNNNNNNNNNNNNNNNNNNNNNNNNNNNNNNNNNNNNNNNNNNNNNNNNNNNNNNNNNNNNNNNNNNNNNNNNNNNNNNNNNNNNNNNNNNNNNNNNNNNNNNNNNNNNNNNNNNNNNNNNNNNNNNNNNNNNNNNNNNNNNNNNNNNNNUCAAAAGAGAUGAUCCAAAUGCUAAUAGCCCUUCUGUCGAAGAUUUAAUGGGUGAUCUCAUGGUUAAGUCAGUCAUGAGAAAAUCUUUUGAUAUCUUCAGAAAAAUACUUUGAGAAUAAAAAUUGGAUUCUUAUUUCAGGAAAAGCUACUUUGGAAAAUAUCUUGAUUUGCCGGAGGACAACAAUGCUCGUUUCUAGAUGAAAAUGGUAUAUGAUGUUCUCAGGUUUAUGUAUGAAAACAAAGAUAAGAUAGAUGAGGUGUAGAUAAAUUACUGUGGCAUGCCUGUUUGUUUUGGUUGGGAGGAGUUUGCCAUAGUUACCGGACUAAAAUGUUAUCCCCCUUCUCCUUCUCAAGUUAUACCUACUCUAACCCAAAAAAAAGCACCCCGUACACCCAAAAAAGGAAAAGGCAAGUCGAGUGAUCGUGAUGACCUGGUGUCCAUUGUUGGUUCAAGCUUCAAACACAAAAAUCUGAUUAAAGCGUUGGAAGGUAUAGGACUUUCAAAGAAGCACAAGCAAUCAUUGUGAUUGAUUUGGUUUGUACAUAAUGUUCUUUGGGCGAGAGACGUUAACAACAACAUAAGCCUCAGUUUAAUAAAUCUCUCGGAGGAUCUUGAGGCAUUUAACAGUUAUCCUUGGGGUUAUGAAAGCUUCAAAAUGACUAUCGAAUAUUUGUUGACUCUGUUAACGCCAAAAACAGUCAACUUAUAUGGUUUUCCACGGGCCUUCAUUUUCUUCUAUUACNNNNNNNNNNNNNNNNNNNNNNNNNNNNNNNNNNNNNNNNNNNNNNNNNNNNNNNNNNNNNNNNNNNNNNNNNNNNNNNNNNNNNNNNNNNNNNNNNNNNNNNNNNNNNNNNNNNNNNNNNNNNNNNNNNNNNNNNNNNNNNNNNNNNNNNNNNNNNNNNNNNNNNNNNNNNNNNNNNNNNNNNNNNNNNNNNNNNNNNNNNNNNNNNNCAAGGAAGCAGUAAGUCCAAUUCUAAUCAAGUUUUGGUUUUAAUUAAUGAUUAAAUGAUUUCAUCAUUAUUCUUAAUAUAUGUACCGAUUUAUUUUAGAUUGUCCAUCCGUGGAUUGUUCCGACCAACCGAGAGUUGAAGAUGUCAUUUUUUCUUACUUUACGGUCUUUGCAAACUUUAUCGGACCCUAAGGUUGUUGAUGGAAUAAAAAUGGAAUUGUUUGGAGAAACAGCCAUCAUAAGAAAAAUAAUUUCGGAGGGUGGGGCUAAUGAUGCUCCUCUUAUGGUUUUUGAAACAACAAGCCAUUAUGAUUAUGAUCAUAAUGAUUGUACAAAUUUUUCUCCAGAUUUUGCCACAUCUAACGAAUGUUCUUCAUGCAAAUGUCAAGAAUGCAAAUUUCAAGACUGCAAGGCGAAACACAAUAGAGUGAUUAAUGCUAUUCAUGCACUAACUGCUUUUGUAUAGGAAUUGACAUCUAACAGGGGUGUCAUUCCAUCAAAGAGGAUUUCAUAUCCAAACACUCCCCUAGAAAUCAAGGCGGCUAAGAGAAGAAGGAAAGACACUUUCAAGGCAUCACAAUCAUAAAAAAAGGCAAGAUUGCAAUGCCUCUGUCUUUGUCUUGCACCGAUGUUCAAUGUGCAAGGGCCACAGAAGAGCAGCAUGAGCUGAAGAAGGUGAAUAUACAUCAUCUGUUCCAAAAAACAAACAGACAUAUAUCUGUUUCAAAUCAUCUGUUGAAAAUUAUUAAACAGAUAUAUACAUCUGUUGCAACUGUUGUCUAACCUGUUGCAUCAGAUUCGUUGUCUGCUUCAACAGAUGAGUCUUAUAUUGCAACAGAUGGGUCAUCUAUUCAAAAUUAUCAUACUGCUCUGAUUUACCUGUUUGAAUUUGUCCCAACAGAUAAUCCAUCUGAUGCAACAUAAGACUCAUUUGUUGUAACAGAUGGAAAAUCUGUUGUAUAUCUCUACUUAGCAUUGACAAUUCUGGAUUUUCAGGUGGAUGUCACAGCUACUAUCAAAGAGCAUAAUAUGACAGUUGAUAAUCCAUCAACUGCUUCUAAAGAUGAAAAAAAAGUGGAGCCUGUCAGUUUAGGAGAAUAGAAGAAUUACCCGUUUAAAGGGUUCAACAUCUCGGAUGAGGCUCCAAAAAACUAACACAGUUGAUCAACGACUAUUCAGAAUGGAUUGCUGAUGGGAUGUUAAAGCGUUAUGCCAGCAGGUACAUAAAUUAAUUCUAUGGAUAUUGGUUUAUACAAUUCUUGUUGUAAGAACCUGACAUUAACACAUACAAAUCAUCAUGUAGAAAACAAAAUGACGAGCGCUACAAAGUGAACGAAUCGAGUCUUGGUUUUUAUAUGUUCGACUUUGUUGUUGCAUAUCCUGGAACGAAGAAUUGGUUCUAUUUGAUGUCACAGCCCCAAACUUGCUGGAAUGAUGAAGUUUAAAUAUCAUACAUAUUACUAUUAAUUAAUACUUUAUUUAAUUGUAUCUACGUAUUGAUUUUUUCAUCACGUAAUCCAAAAUGUUUGAUAAUAUGUGCAACACAUCGAUGUCAUUUUUUACUACCUCCAAAAAAAGGCCAAGUUUCAAACAUAAGAACAAUACAGAUACACAACAGGUAAUUUUUUGAAAAAAGUGUUUUAGCUUUCUGGCUGGCUUACCUUGGCAUUUGGUCGACGAAGUGUACAUCCCAAUCAAUUGUGGUGAUGAAUUCCAUUGGGUGUUGGCUGUCGCUGUUCUAAAAGAGAGGUGCAUUCGAGUUUAUGACUCGAUGUCGCGAAGGAGACAUUUCGGGCCGUCUUCUGAGAUACAAAAGCUGGUCAAAAUAUUGCCUACUUACCUUGAUAUGAGUGCAUUUUUGGAUCAAAAGGUUCUUACUAAUUGGUCGACGAUUGAAGCAUACCGGGAUAAAAUGGCUAAUCCAUUUGAUGUAAAAUAUAUUGACGAAAUUGCUCAACAAACCAUUGGUAGCCUGUAAGUUUAAGUGUCAUGAUUUAGUUUUAUUUCAAUAAAAUUUCACAACGCUUGCAUGAACUACAAGAUAUGGAUUAUCUAUUUUUUUAUAACCCAGGGAUUGUGGUCCUUUUGUUGCCGCCUAUUCCGAGUAUUUGAGCGAUGGAUUACAAGUACCAAAUGAUGGACUUGAUGCCGGAUUACUUCACAAAAUAUAUGUUGCUCUUUUAUAAAAAUAUUGAGAAAUGAAAGUUCAGAAGCCGUACGCAACCGACGUUAAAGAUCCACGACGACCAAAGUCGAAUUCCAUAGCACUGGAUGGAGAACACCUUGUCCAUAUUGAUUAGAUCUUUAUAGCUUGAGUUCCAUCAGUGUAAUAACCUAUUCUCCUUGGUUUAACUUAUUGAUUUAUUUAUAGAGUAGAUCGUUUGUACUCAUAAUGAUUUUUUUUACAUUUCAUUUAUUUGUUGAGUUAUUUCAUGUAAUUUUUGAAGGCUUCAAUUUAUUUUAUUCUGUCUAUGAAUAUAAUUAAUUCUGACGAUCUACUGCAACAGACGACAUAUCUUAUCAGACAGAUUUAGACAUAUGUUGCAACGUGAGAUACAACACGUAGGUCAUCUGCUGGAAAUUAUAUAACAGGUCUUCCUACUUUUUUUAUUUGCUCCAAUAGAUUACCGAUCAGUUGCAACAGAUAAGUUAUAUGUUGCAACAGAUCGUAAAUCUUUUACGACAGACAGACGGGAAAUAUAUGCAUAACGUAACAAAUGACCAACCUAUUCAACAGAUAAUCAAUCUGUCACAACAGAUACUAUAUCUAUUAUGACAGAUAUAAAAUCUGUUGCAUUAUAAAAAUUUAACUUUGCCAGACAUAAAAAUUAUUGCCCCUAUAUGUAUAGUGAAUUGGCUUGAAAUAAAAAUUUGUUAUCGUGUUCGUCUCUGUCUUGUACACGUUCUUUUUUAUACACGGGCUUCAACCAUUUAGUUAGUACCCCAUAUUCCCAGACCCAUUGCAUCUUUCCCAUAACGAUGUCGCACACACCGAUCAUUUGUGUGCCGGUCAGCAAACACUUAAUGUAUGCAAGUGAGUACAGUCCGCACGCUGCACCGGUUGUAUUUUUUGGGAGAUGAAUGUUCUUAUUUUGACCUUCAAAACCCAUGAUUCCUUCGCCAAGACUUUAGCCGGCAAAUGAUCCAUCAGCUUACUCUGCGUCAAAAACUUGGGCAACAACUUCAAGAGUGGCUGCAUGUGGGUUAAAAACGUCUUUUCGCUGAACACAGGUAAGUUGCAGUCAUAAACCUUAAUCUUUCCAUCAUAUAGUAGUAUCUCAAUAGUGAGAAAAUGGGUGACAUCCACAUUCAUGGCUGCAAGAAUUCUCUUUGUCUUGGUCCAGCUCUUGCUGUGUGGAUAUGGCCUCUUCUCUCUAACAUAUUUAAUCGCUUCUUCAUCCCAUUGGAACGUAGAAACUAACUGAUCAAAUCCCGAGCCACUAGAAUCAACUAUCUUACAGAGUUUAGCGUACUUAUCCUUAAAAUUUUUGUAGAAGUUGAGGUCCAUUAUCCUAUCGGAAGCAUCAUAAGUAUCCGGGUACGCUAAUUGUCUGCCCUUCAUGAGGCAGAGAAUUUCAUCAACAUACUGUGGUAUAAGAAGAUAAUUUUUAAAUAUGUUAGUAACUGUAAAGAAUAAAAACACAGUCAAAAGAAUCCGAUGCAGAGGGUUCUCUAAAUCAGUUCACAGAUUACCCAGCCAACGUAACUUAUGCAACCGAUGUGUAUUAUGUUGCAAUAGAAUACCAAAUUUUUGCAACAGAUUACACAUCUGCUAUGUAGAUUCUUCUUCAUGGAGUAGAUUGGAAGGGUAGGUUAGCAAAAGUAAAAUUACUUUGUCCUCGUACCACAUGCACAUAUUUGUCAUAUUCAAGAAGUCUUUAGCGGCAAAUGAAUGCAUGGUGUAUUCUUUUUGAACCUUUAUCUUGAUGAAUUCUUUCAGAUCCUUCUUCUUCUCCUUGCCAAGCGCCGUGAAUAUGUCCACCUUCUUUGGCUGCCCCUAAACUUCAACAACUAUUGGAGCGGGGGGAGUUGUAAUUUUUUCUGAUUUCAGAACGGAGAGAAUUUGUCUAAUUUUUCUUCUCUUCCUCCUAACCUCCACUGUAGGAGUGCAUGGUUUCCUUACCUCGUUGGAUGGUAUGACACCCCUCUUGGAUUAUAACUCCUCGACAGCUUCAGCCAUAGCCUCUAGCUUGUCGAGGAUUUUAUCUUCUCUGUCCUUGCACACUUUACAUUUGCAAUGAGAAUAUGAGGGUGAAGAGGGGUGAGAGAGACCACUGUAAGGAUGGGAGGGACCAGUUUAGGGGUGAGAGGGAGGGACCAGUGUAGGGGUGAGAGGGAGGACCUGUGCAAGGGGUGUUUUCCAACAUAUUUAUUUUUUGCUGAGCAUCAACAUGCUCUUAAUCACGAUUGGCAGCAGAAGCAGAAGCAGGAUGGCUGCCAUCAUCACAAACAACUCCACUAGCAACACCCCCAGAAGAAGUAUCCAAAUCUGCUGUAGUUUGAGUUUGGUCGUGAAGAGCUUCAACAUUAGACUGACCUUGCCUAACUGCUCUUCUUAUGGAUGUUGCUCCAUCCAAUUCCUUCUUUAUAAAUCCACCGUUGGGUCUUCUUUUGUAUCAACAAGACCCAGAGUAAGAAAAGAAGUCAUCCCUAGCUCAUCAAUGGUAGGCACGAUCCAAGGAUGCACAAGCUAUAAAAAAAUGACAGAAGGAAUUUAAAUUAUAUAAUAAUAAUUUGCAGUCAGUUGAGUUACAUGGGGCUCGGGUUAUGUUAACACAGCCAACUUAUGCAACAGACGAUCUAGCUACCGCAACAGUUGAUCUGUAUGUUGAAAUGGAUUGAUAAUAUAUUACAUCAGAAUACCCAUCUAUUGCAUAAUUUACAGUAGAUGGGUAAUCUAUUGAGUAGGGUUCAAAGAACAUAGCAACAUAUGGUUAAUCUGUUGUGAAAUAUGGAUCAUCUAUUGUAACAGAUUACCCAUCCGUUGCACCAGUUGCAGUUGACGGGUAAUCUGUUGCAACAGAUGGAAUAUCUAUUUCAAUAUCUUUCUUUGAGGCAAAUUAUUUUAGUUGAAAGAAGACGUACUGCAUCAUCCGAAGGGUUAAAGAGAUUAGCCUCGUUAAUAUUUUUUUUGUUGGUCUCUACUGCAGCCAACCACCUAAGGAUCCUUGGAUGAGAAAGCUUAUUCGGGUAAUCCAUGAAAUGCUUUCAGAGGGGAGGAGUGGCUUUACAUGCCCAAGCCUAAAAAUUGUAAACUGGAAGCAAGCAAAAAAAAGGUACAAGUAUAUUCAAUAUAAAUUAAUGAAUGAGUAAAAAUAGAGAUCAAUUUUACCAUGAAAGCCCAAGAAAAGCCGUAUAAUAUGGUCGUCUUUGGCUUUAGCUCUUUCAGUAAAUAUUUGACAGUCAAGUAGUAGCUGUCAUAGCCCCAGGGAUAAUCAUUGAAUUUCCCAAAAUCAUUAGCAAGCGCCAACAAAUCAUGUUCUAUGACUUUCUUAACAACUCUUUUCAAUAAAAUGAAAUGUACAAACCAAACUAAACACAAUUUCUCCCUGUAGUGCUUUGGUAUGUCUUUAUUCUUGAGAUUCGCUAUCAAAUCCUUCACUUUGUAGCUAGGUCCAACAAUGCCCAACAACCCAUCUUUUUUUAUCUUGCGUUUGUUGGACCCUUUGUGGAGUGUUUUCUUGAUGGCAGGUUCUUCUGGACGAUUGUAUUUCAAGCCUGUCACAAUGGCAAACUCUUUCAAUCCAAAACAAAUCGGCAUGCCACAAUAGUUGAUCCAGACUUCAUCCAUAUUAUUUCCGUCCUUAUUUGAACCUCUAUCGUCCUCUGCAUACAUGAUCCUAUGCUUGAGAAGGCCAUAUACCAUGAUCAUUAGGAAACGGAGAGGGCGGGUCCCAGACAGCUCAAGAAAGUGUGCAAAACAGCUCUUCUUAAAAAGUCCAUCUAUGUUUUNNNNNNNNNNNNNNNNNNNNNNNNNNNNCUUCCCCAACUGACAUUUAAGUACAAGAUCACCAAAUACUGCAUUAGAGUUAUUCAUCGGCAUCCCAACUCAAAACUUGUCAAUAUUAAUGGUUUUAACAGAAUCAUGCUGGAAUUUUGAUAUUAUUUCACGCUCCAUUGGUGAGGAGGAGUUAUCACUUUCCUCGGCUUCAUUUUGCCCUGACUGAGAUUGUUCUGGAAGUUCCUCCGAAUCUAUCUGUACUCUAGCCUUUUUUGUUUGGUGAUCGGAAGUUGAUCCAUUUUCUGUUUCUUUUCUUUUGAGAGACAUCUUUUAACUACAAAUAAAAGAAAAAUAAAAAAUACAUUGCAUUUGAUGUCUGCAUAAUUUUUUUUAAAAAAGGUGAGACAAAUUUCAAUAAAUUAUUCUUACCACAUAACAAAAAAAAAAUACUCCAACGGACAACCCAUUAGUUGGAACAGAUGGGGAACCCGAUUCUGUUUGAAGACCUAUUUAAUAUCUCCCCAAAGAUAUUCCACCUAUUGCAACAGGUGAAGAAAUUUUAAUAAAUUAUUCUAUGCCACAUUACAAGAAAAUACUCUAACGGAUAACCCAUCAGUUGGAACAGAUGGCGAAUUUGUUUGAAGACCUAUUUAAUAUUUCCCAACAGAUCUUUCACCCAUUGCAAUAGAUGGACCACCACCACCACAACCAAUGCCACAACCAAUGCCAUCAAGACCACCACCAAUACCAACACCAAGACCACCGACACCAUCGCCAAAAAAUGCAAAUACCAACACCACCAAAAACAGCCACCAACAACACCACAAACACCAUCCAACAAUACCAGGACAGUCAACAAAAUACUGAGAGAAAAACUAUGGUUUUCUCGGGUGCUUCCUACUUUUUUAGCAUCAAAACUCAAAAUUGUUAACCCAUUCUCAAAGAUAAUACAACUAAAAGUUUUAUUUUUUAUCUUUAACUAAAAAGUCCUAUUUUUUAGAAUAAAGAACAAAUGUAGAGCUCUUCUCGAACUCUGUACAUGCGAAGAUAGAGAGAAUAAUGGAUACAAGCGAGAAUGAAGUAAAAAAAACAACUAUAUGUAGUCGUAAAUGGGAAGAAAAUCAACCUGUUUUGAAGGGUUGAGCAAUAUGUUGAGUAGUCAUUGUUUGUAUUGUUGAGAGGGAGAGGACACCCGGAGAGAGAGAAAGAGAGAAAAGAGCAAGAACUUUAGAUUUGAAAUGAAAAGUUUUUCACGCAAAUGGAUGAUUUGUAUGGGUUGAUUUAUAAUUCUGGAAAAGAAUGACAAGUUUUGAAAUUGCUAAUUUGGUCCGAAUUGAUCUUAAUUAAUUUUAAAAUUUUAAAAGAUAUAGUUUUUAAAACAUUGAGUUGGAUGAGAACUCAUUUCAACUCAGAGUGAUCGAUCGAUGACUCGGGUUGGGAUGAAUGCAAUAUCAACGCCAUGCAAUUGUAAAGACUCGAUUGGAUUUGUAGUUGACCCUGCGAGCUCAUUCAUUCAUCCCUAGUUCCACCUAAAUCAACUUAGGUACUAUCACUAUUGAUGCGGGACUUAUCAUGACCUUAGAUAUUUUUUGAGCAACUUGAAGACCAACUAAAGAAUGCCCAAUCCCAAGUGUGGAUGAGGCCCAAAUCAGUUUUUGAAUGCACUAUAUGGGGUGGCCUUGAGGCCUUUUUUAUGGAAGGGCCCUUUUGCCAUUUAACUAUUAUUUUGCAAUGUAAUAUAAAUAUAACAUGGUAGGGUUUAUUGUCUUAGUUUUGAUGCUUGAUAUUGUAAGAACACUCCUCUUAGAGAGAAAGACUCCAACCAAAACUAGGGCCUAACACAAAGGUGGAAUCAUUUGUGUAUGGUGUUUUGCUUGAUACGUUGGUGCUUGAGAGGUGAACGCCCCUCUUGUGUCUAUGUAAGAGUUAGGUGCAUGUUGAAUGUGGUAUUAAGGGUACAAGAGUGGAAUAUGAUCUUAGGUUAUUAAGAUUACAACUUCAUUGUGCCUAACUAUCUAUCCUUGUUUCUUGUUUUAGGUUCGGCUUUCCAUGUUUUGUUGUUGAAUCUGUAGGUUUUUGUUGAUGUACACGUGUUGUUCUUCAUUAUAUUAUAUUAAUACAGUUUGUUGGUGGGCUGAUUUCGUGUGUAAACAUUUAUUAUUCUCUCCAUUCUUGUUGUAAGUACCGAAUCCGAGAGUGGUCACCUAGAUAGUCCACGGUUUCUCUUCUUGUGGACUAUUUUGGGUGUUUGCUUUGUUGUGUUCUUGGUCAUUCUUGUAUAAUUUGGUAUCAGCGCAUGACUUGAUCUUGUUACUACAAGAUCAAAUCUUGGGCUAUCUCACUUGAAAAAUAAAAAUAAAAAUUAAAAUCUGAAAAUUCUAGAAAAAAGAAGCAAAUCUGUCCGUUCUUGCUGUAUUGACUGAAAUUGUGUCUUGUUGUUGUUUUGGCCGAUAUUUGUGUCUACAUUUCCUCAUUUUUGACCUUUGGAAAGAGAAUCCAAAGUCUUGCUUUCCUCAUUUCAAGACAAAAAAAAAAUCAUCACCAAAACAACUAGAUUGAACAACCUAUGUAAAAAAAAAGGCAUUAACUACAAGUCAAAAGAGUGUGUAAGAGUAUUUUCAUCUAACAUUUGCUCGUUUUGUAGGUAAAUUUGCAAAUGGAACCUGAAACUUCCAAUUCACAAACUGUGAAUCAUAAUGUUAUGAAUGCCCUUGUAGCUAGUCUUGAGUCCUUGUCUUGGGAUGUGGCUAGAGUGAAUGCUACGGUUGAGAAGUUGGGAGCGGAAGUGGCCUCUAUUAGUGGCCGGAUGGAAAGGGUAGAAAGUCAACGGAGUUAUCAUCCCUCAACUCCCCAAAACACAUACCCAACCAUUACCCCCGAAGCCACACACCAAAGAAUGUACCUACCAAAUGCCAUACCUCAAGCACACUAUUAUUCAUAAGGUCGAGGCCUUGAAGUACCUAGUUAUUCUACACAUCACUAAGCCCCACAUGACGGAUUUGAAACCCAAAUUCCACCCUUAAAUGCGACUCCUCCAAACCAAAAUCAGCCAAUCCAAAGACCACCACCACUAAAUGCCAAUCCCCCAUACCAAAUUCCAAAUAUCCAAAACCCACCAAUGCAAUAAGAGGGAUUUGUGAGGGGGAAUCGAAAGGGAGGGUAUGGAAUGUAUGAUGAUCCUUAUUUAAUGGAAGAUGGGAUGAGAGGUAGAAGGGUAGAACCUAGGGAUAAUCAAGAGCUUGAAGGUAGGGGCGGCCAAGGUUUUCAGGAAAGGGAUGUUGGCCUCAACACCAUAAAAAUGGGGCUUUCUAUCUUUAAGGAAAAAAGUGAUCCUGAAGAUUUUCUUGCAUGGGAAUCCGCAUAUGAGAGAGUCUUUCAAGUGAAUGAUCUCACGGAGGAGAAAAAGAGCUGUUAAGCCAUUGCUCAUUUUGAGGGAUAUGCUACCACGUGGUGGGAGUAUGUCAAACAUUUUGGCAAUGUAUUGAUUGAGGGGCAAACCCCUUCUUGGUUUUGGUUAAGGUAUAUUAUGAGGCAAAGGUACCUUCCCGAAAGCUAUCAAUAUGAACUCCUUGCAAAAUUGUACAAAUUGAAGCAAGGAAACAAAAAUGUGGCAGCCUACUAUGACGAAUUUCAACAACUCAUCUUGAAACUUGAUCAUAGAGGAGAGAAAGUGAGCAACAACAUCAUCUGGUUCAAGGUUGAGUUAAACAAGGACAUCUCCACUCGCAUGAUGCUUCACAAAUUCAACACCAUAGAGAGAAUCUUCCAAGGGACUUUAGAGGUGAAGAGAGAGCUCAAAGAGAACUCUUUGCUAGAGAGCUGCGUGGUCGGGAUUAUCACCUAGAUAGAAAAUAGGAGAAGACUAACAAAGAAGCCUCAUGGGUAUCGAGGGUUGAAAUGAUGUAUAGCAAGUCUAGAAAACUUAUGCAAACAACAACUACAGUUAAAAUAAGGAAUCUAAGCAAAGGAGGCAAAUUUCUGAAUUUUAAAUUUCAUACCAUGCUUUCUUGUUUGUGUUUCCGAUUAGGUCCACUGUCAUUGACCUAAUCGGAACCACAAACGAUAUUGAAAGGCAAAUAGAGUAUCAUUGUUUUCUUAUCAAUAUGGUUAUAACUGAUUGUGUUUUCUUGCCUUGACAUGCUUUCAACAUUGCUUGGAGAAGAUCAGAUGCUUGCUGUAGUAUGUGAAUCUCGAUAAUUUUCAAGCUUGCCUCCAGCUUGUUGAUUUUGUAUUCAAGCUGGUCGUUUUCGUCUUCGUAGUUGGUAAGGAGUUCCUUGUCUCUUGUGAGAUCGAUCAGGAACACUACCUUUAAAGUUGUGGUAUUCUAGAAGCCCUUCAGAAUACUUUCUUCAGAAGCCUUAAAGGAUACAUGGAGGGUCUCUGUGUUUGUUUUAGGUAAAAUAUGUUGAUGCACGUUAAAGAUGUGGUCCCAACCGUUGAACAACACACUUUUAUCGAGCGUUGCUUUAUGCAUCUUGCUUAACCAAUUUGAUAAAUUAGUAAGCAUGGAGUUACGUAGCGUGUGAUCUAAACCGGAUCUACCAAGCCUAUCAAACAUUACGUAACUCUAAGCUCAUUACUCUAUCAAAAAAAAUGACCAAGUUAGUGCACAAAUCAAACGAGCUCAAUCUCUCAGCCUUUUUGCUGAUCGUUCUUCUCCAAUAUAGAUGACAAGAUAUCUGAUAUGCAAAAGUCUACACCGUCACCAAACAUGUUUGCCUGGGAGCAAUUCUUCUGAAGGAUAUCUGUUGAUGUUUUCUAAAGAAUUGCUCCCAGAAAAGCAUGUCUGGCGAUGGUGUAGACUUUUGCAUAGCAGAUAUCUUGUCAUCUAUAUUGGAGAAGAGUGAUCAGCAGAAAGGCUGACAGAUUGGGCAUUUUUAUUUUGUGCACUAACUCAGGCAUAUUAUUUUGAUAGGUUAAUGAGCUCGGAGUUACAUAAUGUUUAAUAGGCUUGGUAGAGCUGAUUUAAAUCACAUGCUACGUAACUCCAUUCUUACUAAUUUAUCAAAUUAGUUGAGCAAGAUGCAUGAAGAAACGCUCGAUAAAUGUGUGUUGUUCAACUGUUAGGACCACAUCUUCAACGUGUAUCAACAUAUUUUGACCUAAAACAAACACAGCGACCCUCCAUGUAUCCUUUAAGGCUUCUGAAGAAAGUGUUCUGAAGGGCUUCUAGAAUGCCACAACUUUGAAGGUAGUGUUCCUGAUCGAGCUCACAAGAGAUGAGGAACUCCUUACCAACUUUGAAGACGGUAACGACCAGCUUGAAUACAGAAUCAACAAGCUGGAGGCAAGCCUGAAAAUUAUCGAGAUUCACAUACUACAGCUAGUAUCUGAUCUUCUCCAAGGAAUGUUGAAAGCAUGCUAAGGCAAGAAAACACAAUCAAUUAAUCCAUAUUGCUAAGGAAGUAAUUAUACUCUAUUUGCCUUUCAAUCUCAUUUCUGGUUCCAAUCAGGUCAACGACAGUGGACCUUAUCGGAAACACAAACAAUAAGGCAUGGGAUAAAAUUUAAAAUUCAGAAAUUGCCGCCUUCGCUUAGUUUCCUUAUUUUAACUGCAGUUGUUGUUGGCGUAAGUUUUCUAAAAUUGCUGAACAUCAUUUCUACGCUCGAUGCUCGUGAGACUGCUUUGUUGGUCUUCUCUUAUUUUCUACCUAGGUGAUAAUCCCGACCAUGCAACUCCCUAGGAAAGUGUCUAUCUACAUUUUUUUUCUUUCAGAGACAUAACAGAAGAAAUUACAUUAUUGGAUACACUUUCAUAUUUGCACUUGAUUCAGAUUUCGCAUCUGUUAAGAUAAUUCCAUCGGCCAGAUUCCUUAGAAGUUACUUUCUACCCUAUGUCUCUUCUUUAAUUAUCUCUCAGAUGAUAUAGUCUUCCAUCAACCACCCAUUUUCCGUUGAAAGCAUUCUCCUACCGCACCUUUUGGCAUAUAAUCAUCACCACGAGCAAGCAACCCAACCAUAUAAAUUUUGGCCAGGGCAAUAACUAAAUUGGUUUUCCAUUCUUGUUUGAUGCAGUGCGAGGCUUCGAGAGCCCUCUAAGGGUCCAAUGCACACUUAAAGUUAAGUCCAAUCGCUAUUGUUUCUCUGUAAUGACAACAAAUAUUGAUCCCUUCUCAAAACUUGACAUGCAUAAACACGAGCACCAACCGUCAGUAAUUCGUAACAGGGUAUCUGCACCAUCUUCAUGAGGUCCUCAGCCUUAUCAAUUUCGAACCCAUCAAACUUAACGGUACAAUGAAGGAUCUUGUUUGAAUGAUCAAUGCCUAAUCGGUUAAAAAAUGCAUUCACAAAAACAUUGUACUUUGUGUGUGUUGUCCCGGUAACCUUAUCAGUAAUACAUACUUAACUCCCACACAUAUGAUAGUGGAUCUAUUUGCACGUNNNNNNNNNNNNNNNNNNNNNNNNNNNNNNNNNNNNNNNNNNNNNNNNNNNNNNNNNNNNNNNNNNNNNNNNNNNNNNNNNNNNNNNNNNNNNNNNNNNNNNNNNNNNNNNNNNNNNNNNNNNNNNNNNNNNNNNNNNNNNNNNNNNNNNNNNNNNNNNNNNNNNNNNNNNNNNNNNNNNNNNNNNNNNNNNNNNNNNNNNNNNNNNNNNNNNNNNNNNNNNNNNNNNNNNNNNNNNNNNNNNNNNNNNNNNNNNNNNNNNNNNNNNNNNNNNNNNNNNNNNNNNNNNNNNNNNNNNNNNNNNNNNNNNNNNNNNNNNNNNNNNNNNNNNNNNNNNNNNNNNNNNNNNNNNNNNNNNNNNNNNNNNNNNNNNNNNNNNNNNNNNNNNNNNNNNNNNNNNNNNNNNNNNNNNNNNNNNNNNNNNNNNNNNNNNNNNNNNNNNNNNNNNNNNNNNNNNNNNNNNNNNNNNNNNNNNNNNNNNNNNNNNNNNNNNNNNNNNNNNNNNNNNNNNNNNNNNNNNNNNNNNNNNNNNNNNNNNNNNNNNNNNNNNNNNNNNNNNNNNNNNNNNNNNNNNNNNNNNNNNNNNNNNNNNNNNNNNNNNNNNNNNNNNNNNNNNNNNNNNNNNNNNNNNNNNNNNNNNNNNNNNNNNNNNNNNNNNNNNNNNNNNNNNNNNNNNNNNNNNNNNNNNNNNNNNNNNNNNNNNNNNNNNNNNNNNNNNNNNNNNNNNNNNNNNNNNNNNNNNNNNNNNNNNNNNNNNNNNNNNNNNNNNNNNNNNNNNNNNNNNNNNNNNNNNNNNNNNNNNNNNNNNNNNNNNNNNNNNNNNNNNNNNNNNNNNNNNNNNNNNNNNNNNNNNNNNNNNNNNNNNNNNNNNNNNNNNNNNNNNNNNNNNNNNNNNNNNNNNNNNNNNNNNNNNNNNNNNNNNNNNNNNNNNNNNNNNNNNNNNNNNNNNNNNNNNNNNNNNNNNNNNNNNNNNNNNNNNNNNNNNNNNNNNNNNNNNNNNNNGACGGUUGGUGGUAGGGAUUGAGCAACAAUUUGUGUCAACAGUUAGAGGUUAAUUUGCUACGACAGAUCGAUCAUAUGUUGCACUUGACGGUUAUUAAUAAAAAAGAGUUAUUGUUGUUAUUGAGAGGGUGAAAAGAAAAAGACAUGACUUUUCGUUUCGGUUAUUCAAUAUGAAAAAUAUUUCGUAAAUAAAUAAUAAGGAAAUAAAUGAUAAAACACAAUUUAUAACACGAUUUUAAUAACUGAUCGUGACUUUUCACCAUUUUUGUUUUUGAAUUUAUUUUUAAAAUUAUUUUUUAUAUAAUAAAAUGGCUGUUAUUUUAUUAAGGAAUUUGAAAAGGUAUUUUUUGUAUUUAUAAAAUAAAAAAGUAAGCAAAUUUGGAUUAAUGAUAUGAUGAUAUAGUUUUUUUUUUUUUAAAAAAAAGUAGAUUAUAUGUUGCAACAAUUAUAUUAUCUGAUGCAACAGGUUCACUAUGGUUGCAACAGAUGAUAUAUCUGUUGUCACAGAUGAUUUAUCUGAUGCAACCUAUAUCGAGUCACAACUCAAUAAAAGCAGUUCUUGUAUUUAUUUAUUGCAUCUCGUCUUUCAUAUUACACUUAAGAAGAUAAGAUUAUGGCUGACUCAGUGUGGGACGAUGCUUUUCUGCAAGACACCGUGAAUGAACUUCGGAAUCAAGUUCAUGAUCUGCAAUGGGAACUGGGAGGAGUUAGAUCAAGAAUGCUCCGCGAGAUACGCAGGUUGAGGAGGGCCUUGCUACUUCCAGUUGAAGAUUGGCCAGCUGGCAAUGAUGAUGCUGAUAAUAAUAAUAAUAAUAAUUAGACUAUUAUUUUUCUUUUAAUAUAUUAUAUGUAUUUUUAUUUAUUUUUGUUUAAUAAAUAAAUUAUGUUUGAUCUUUGACGUUUUAAUCCAUAUUUAAUUUUCAUUUUGUCUAUUAUUUUCUCAAUAAACAUGUCAACGAUUCGACGUAAAAAGGAAUAAUUUAGAAUCCAGUAGCAAUAGCAAGAUUUAUCUAUUGGGUUUGUGGCAGGGGUUGAUUUGUGUUGUUUCAAACAGAUUAAUCAUUCGUUGCAACAGAUAAUUAGUCUAGUGCAACAGAUAAACAUUCUGAUGCAACAGAUAAUUAGUCUGGUGCAACAGAUAAACAUCCUGAUACAACAGAUAAUACGUCUGAUGCAACAGAUAAUACGAUGAUGCAAUAGAUAAACAGUCUGAUGCAACAGAUAAGUCUUUUAUGCAACAGAUUACUCAUCUGAUGCACCAGAUGAUUGAUCUAUUUAAAUUGUGGGCACUUAUGCUGGAUUCAUAAUCAGGGUUCUAUCCAUUGUUGGAAAAACAGAAGUGUACCCAGAUGACAAAUAUGAAUAAAAAUCAUAAUUUUACUUACCAAAGUCACCUAUGAAGUAAUGCCAAAGUAGAAAGUGAUGUAGUAAAUAAAAUUUGACCUAAGAAAUUGGUCAGAUCGCAGCAGUAGCGUUGUACCAACAACAACAACAACAACAACAAAUGGUCGACAAGAAGAUGAUGAAGAUGAUAAUGAAGUAGAAGAUGAUGAUAAUGAAGCAGAAGAUAAUGAAUAAAGCAACAGAAACAGAAACAAUUAACAACAAAAAUUGCUAAGAGAGAGAAAACAACAAUGGAUGAGAAGAGAGAGAAAGAUGCCUUUUUUUUGCUCCGUUUUCCGUUAUUUUAGGUAUACAUUGGGAUCAAAGAGUAAAUUUAAAAACUUGUGGGUUAUUUUCAAACUUUUCCAACUUUCUUAAUACAUAAUAAAGUAAUUGUCACCUCCAACUAAUAAUUAAGACUUGUGUCACCUACACCUAAUUUUAAAACUCUUUUGUUACCUAUGGUCCAAACCUCCGGGGUUGUCGGUGGGUUUUUUUAGAUGUAUCAGAAAAGAGAUAACUAUUUUGAGUAAAAAAAGGAUUUUUGUAACUAGUUUGGUUGGAUGAGAUUUUAAGUAAUAAUAGAAACUUAAGGUGUGGUUAUAAGAAAUUUAUCCUUCUUUUUUUUUUUUUUUUUUCAUGUUCUCUAUAUAAUUUCUCUUUAUUUUGUACUUUAUAUGAAUUUCUGAUUGUUGUAACUUUAUACAGUAAUUGUUUUGAUUCAAAAUAAUAACUUAUGAUUUUGAUAGAAGUUUACUAUAAUUCCGCAAAUCGCAUACAAAUUCACUAGUUACUAUUAUAUUUAGCAGAUUUUUUUUCGAAAUAUUUUGAUAUAAGUGGAUUAUUCAAACAUAAAACAAAAAAUAGGAUACGAAAAGUAGAUCCUUGAGAAGAAUAAGUAAUGACAAAAGAAACAUUACGAAGAUAUCCUUCAAUAACAAAAUAACUUAGGGUGCAUUUGCUUUUUUCUAAGAUUAAAACGUGUAAAUUUGAAUAGAUGUCUGAAUGAUUAAGAUGUUGUUUUUAGAUCUGAAUACUGAAAAAUUAAGACUAUUUGUCUUUUUAACAUCGGAUCAUAUAUGUGAUUUAUUUAUUUGUAAUAAAUACGCAAUUCAAAUUUAAAAAGUAAUAAAAUAUUAUAUGAAAAAAAUAUUUAGAUAAAGUAUUAACUUAAACAACAAACAUUAUUUGAGUGAUAAUUAAAAUAUUUAAAAAUAUAAAUAAAUAAAUUAUGUUAAAUAUAAUCAUUGAGUUGUCUAAAUUAUUAGAAAAAGAUAUAUCGAUUAAAAAUUAUUGAUAUAUCGAUUAAAAAUUAUUGUGAUAAGAUGUAAUUAUAAAAUGAAUUACAACAGUGAGAGAGUUUUGUGGUGUAAGUUAUAAUUACUAGAAUAGUUCAAUAUUUUUAAUAACAAAGUGAGAGGAAAAUAAAUAAUUGUCAACUGAGAGAGGAAAGUAAAGAAUUCAAUACGUGAAUUACUAGUAUUAUAAUCCAUUGCAUUAUAAUUCAUUUGAUGAUAAAUUAAGUUAUUUUAAUUCAUUUUACACGUAUAUAGAGAGGAAAAUAACAAAGUGAGAGAGUUUUGAGGGAAUAUAUCAUGUUUUAAAAAGAGUCUGAAUAGUAUUCAGACUCUUUUUAAAAUCUGACUGAUUCAGAGGACACAUUAAGAGGCACUUAGAGAAAAAAAUAAAUGCACUUAAUGGACUGAAGUCUGAACCAUUCAAAUUCAGACGUCCAUUAAGUGCAAACAAAUAAGGCCUUAGUAAAGCAUAUAACAUUAUUUGUUAAUCAAAUUUAACUUCUGCACACAUUCACAGUUUAAUGAAAACAAAUAAGGCCUUAGUAAAGCAUAUAACAUUAUUUGUUAAUCAAAUUUAACUUCUGCACACAUUCACAGUUUAAUAUAUUCUAAUUGCAUGGCGAAAUCAAAAAUUUUACUAAUAAAGUGGUUCAACAUUUUCUACAUAUUCAUAAAAAAUAAUUUUAAUGAAAAAUCAACCAUCAAUCUCCAACAACCAAGCCCGUGGCAGAGCCAGAAUUUUUAUUAAGGGGGUUCAAAAUCGAAAAAAAUAAGCACACGAACUAGCCGAAGGAGGUUCAAUAUCAACUAUCAUCCUAGAUGCCAUUGGGUGUUCAGUUCGGAUCGGGUUGGGUUGGGAGGUAAUGGGUCGGGUAGUGGGUUUUAAUUUAAGGUGAAUUAAUUAUUUGGAGGUAAAAUAAAUAAAAAUGGGUAAAUGACUAGGAUCGAGACACGUCUGUUAGUGAGAAGAAUAUAUAUGUCCCAAAUCAUUAACAACAGGGAUAUGUUUGUACCCAAAAAUAUGACGAAGAAUAUAUAUAUACCAUUUAUUAAAGUUCAGGGUAUAUUUGUACGUUUUCCGUACUUUUAAUAUAAUGUACAUGUACGCUUCUUUCAUUCGAGCAUGGAUGCUUAGAAGAUGACACUAGAGGAUCGAAGUGAGUUAAUUAAUGUGCCACAUAUCACAUUUUACUUGGUUGAGUUUCUGACAAAUCUUUGAAAACUACUUGUUGCAUAAUUCAUUCAAGAAUGAUAAUAAUUGAGAAUUCCUUCCAUCAAUUCUGACACAUGCUGUGGUGGAAAAACAAUCUCUAUAAGAUUUGAAACUACAAAAAAUUGAGACAAAUGAGGUUUGCUCGACUAGUUGAGCUCCUCCACCACCAACCUGUAGGUUGAGGGUUCGAGUCGUGGAGAGUAAGUGGGAACACUAGGGUGGUGUUGGGAGAAAGAACCUAUAAAUGUUGUAUCUUCAAGAAAUUAUGAGCUUUUGUUCAAGGUUUGUAGGGUGCAAAAACAACCACUGAGUUAUGCCCUCCGAAUCCGAACGAGUUGGAGAUACCUGCAAAAAGAAGAUGAAAAAGGGUUGUUACAUGAGGCUAUUGUGAAAUUAUUUCUUGCUCGGACUCUCUAAAAAUGUUUAUUACUACUUAGCUAACAGUUAAGUGAGAAUUGUGUAUUAGGAUAAAC